CCCGCGAGCCACCACUUGUUAGCCGCAGUUGGCAGAGGCGUCGCCAGCCGCCCCCGGCCCUCCCGGCAGCCCGCCAAGCCACGGGCGGGACAGACUGUCCAACUGUUGGCUGCAAAAAACAGCCUCUGACAAGUGUCCCCACCCACGUCAGGUGGCCGGCCGGGCCGCCUCAUCCAUCCAGGCUCUGGGGAUCGCCGGCUUAUCUCCUGGUGCCAGGCUGGCCCCGGUGCCCGGAAGGGGACUGCGCUGUGUGGCCCAGCUGUAACCGCGUCCUGGCCCCGAGGUCCCCGGGCACAGCCGCCGGCGUCUCGGGCUGGCACCCGGGCUGCGGCGCCAGGACUCCGGUGAAGAGACUGUGGACACAGCGUCGCUUCUGGAGCAACUGGGGACCCCUACCAGAUGUCACACGGAGCCAGCCCACUUCCCAAACAGGGAGCUGAAGCUUGGGGGGAGGGAGGGCGAUGCCCAGGGGCCCCGGAAACCUUGCCUGGCCUCAGGGGCCGUAGCGAAGCAAUCACUAUGCAAACAUUUGCCGAACUUGGCUCCUCUGUGCUCAAGGUUAACCCCUCGUGCCGAGACAGAUGAGAGCUGGAGAGACAUAUCUGAGCGGCGCAGGAGGCUGCCGGCAGUCUCUAACAGAUGGGGAAACGGAGGCCAGACGGAGGGAGUGCGGUCCUCUUCCGUCCCUGGGUCAUGUUCAUGGCCCUCACGCUCUGACCCCGCUGCCCGCCGGAGCCUCCUCCAACCACCCUUCCCUGACAUGCUGCCCCAGUUCCUUCUGCCAACAGCCUCCCCAUCACUCCUCCACCCGCCUCCUCUGGGAGGCCUGCCACGUUCCCACAGCCUUGGCCCAGCCCCGCCUCGCAUGCCGUCAUUCCAGAGGUGUUUGUGCAGUUCUUGGACCAAGGCUUCGCACCCUGGAGGGUAAGGGCCCGCCCGGAGCCCAUCCGUCUUGUUCCAUGCUGCAGCCCUGGGCAUCGCGCGGCCUCCGCGAACACAGCUGAGGCAAGAAAGGGGCCCCGUCAGCAUCUGCACACCUUGCUGAUGGCCACUCGGGGCAGCCAACCCUGCCCACGGUCACCCUGGAGGGAGCUUUGCAGCCAUCAAGCCACACACAGAACCACGGACCCUUCUCCAAGACCUGAGAGGGCUCGAGUGAGGUGUGCCCACUUGCGUAGAAGGACCUACAUCCUGCUGGCUGGUGCUGGAAGAUGACCAGUCUGUGGGAUAAGCACUGAGUAGGGCCUCUUUUUUUUUUUUUAAGAUGUAUUUAUCCAUUUUAGAGAGAGAGAGCAAGCGAGGAGUCGGCGGGGGGGGACUUCAAGCAGACUCCGUGCUGAGCGUAGCGCCCAAUGCAGGGCUCGAUCUCAGGACCUGAGCUGAAACCAAGAAUCGGACGCUUAACCAACCAUGCCACCCACGCACUCCCUGAGUAGGGCCUUUAAUCCACUUCCGGGGGGAAGCAGAGUCCUACUGAAAAUGGCCCGUGUCUCAGUGAGGACAGGCAUACCAGGGGCCGCCAGGAGAACCAAGGACAGUGCUGCUCCCUCCGGGGACCUCUGGGCCACACUGAAGCAGCCACCCCCCACCCAUGGGUGCUCUCUCCAGCACUGAGGCCUGUGCCCGUGGCACCACCUGUUCCUGGGCUCAGACCCAUUUCCGUCCCUUGGCCCCAGGCCUCAGGGUCACCCCUGGCAGGCGCUGCCACCUGCCAACAGCCAGCCCCUGCCUACACUGAGACGCUGUUUCGGGGGUGCUCGGGCUGUGCGCCCCGGGCUUCAGGUGCCACAGAGGCAGGGCUCGGGCUGCUACUCUGCGGACGGCUGUGGGCCUCAGUCUCCCUCUUGGCCCUUCUCAGCCUUGAAGCAACUGGGCACAAAGAGAUCAGGUUUCAAGCCUCAGCUGUAAAGGACAUUUGUAUCGUUUUUCAUUCGUAGCACUUAAAAUUUUUGCUUAUAAUUUUUGAAAUUAAUACAUAAAGAAGCGUUUUUCACUUGUAUCAUU